rnacentral:rRNA from 1 species
GAUGAACGCUGGCGGCGUGCUUAAUACAUGCAAGUCGAGCGAACGGACGCUAAGCUUGCUUCUCUGAUGUUAGCGGCGGCCGGGUGAGUAACCCGUGGAUAACCUACCUACAAGACUGGGUUAACUCCGGGAAACCGUAGCUAUUCCCGGAUAAUUUUUUGUACCGCAUGGUUCAAAAGUGAAAGACGGUCUUGCUUUCACUUAUAGAUGGAUCCGCGCUGCAUUAGCUAGUUGGUGAGGUAACGGCUUACCAAGGCAACGAUGCAUAGCCGACCGGAGAGGGUGAUCGGCCGCACUGGAGCUGAGACACGGUCCAGACGCCUACGGGAGGCAGCAGUAGGGGAUCUUCCGCAAUGGGCGGAAGCCUGACGGAGCAGCGCCGCGUGAGUGAUGAAGGUCUUCGGAUCGUAGAACUCUGUUAUUAGGGAAGAACAUGUGUGUAAGUAACUGUGCACAUCUUGACGGUACCUAAUCAGAAAGCCACGGCUAACUACGUG